rnacentral:rRNA from 1 species
UACAGAGGGUGCGAGCGUUGUUCGGAAUUACUGGGCGUAAAGCGCGCGUAGGCGGACCUGCAAGUCGGGGGUGAAAGCCCGAGGCUCAACCUCGGAACUGCCUUCGAUACUGCGGGUCUCGAGUCCGGGAGAGGUGAGUGGAAUUCCUAGUGUAGAGGGUGAAAUUCGUAGAUAUUUAGGAAGAACACCAGUGGCGAAAGGGCGG